rnacentral:rRNA from 1 species
GGCGGCAUGCCUAACACAUGCAAGUCGAACGAAGGCUUCGGCCUUAGUGGCGCACGGGUGCGUAACGCGUGGGAAUCUGCCCUCAGGUUCGGAAUAACAGCGAGAAAUUGCUGCUAAUACCGGAUGAUAUCGCGAGAUCAAAGAUUUAUCGCCUGAGGAUGAGCCCGCGUAGGAUUAGCUAGUUGGUGUGGUAAAGGCGCACCAAGGCGACGAUCCUUAGCUGGUCUGAGAGGAUGAUCAGCCACACUGGGACUGAGACACGGCCCAGACUCCUACGGGAGGCAGCAGUGGGGAAUAUUGGACAAUGGGCGAAAGCCUGAUCCAGCAAUGCCGCGUGAGUGAUGAAGGCCUUAGGGUUGUAAAGCUCUUUUACCCGGGAUGAUAAUGACAGUACCGGGAGAAUAAGCUCCGGCUAAUCCGUGCCAGCAGCCGCGGUAAUACGGAGGGAGCUAGCGUUAUUCGGAAUUACUGGGCGUAAAGCGCACGUAGGCGGCUUUGUAAGUUAGAGGUGAAAGCCUGGAGCUCAACUCCAGAAUUGCCUUUAAGACUGCAUCGCUUGAAUCCAGGAGAGGUGAGUGGAAUUCCGAGUGUAGAGGUGAAAUUCGUAGAUAUUCGGAAGAACACCAGUGGCGAAGGCGGCUCAC